rnacentral:rRNA from 1 species
GAUGAACGCUAGCGGCAGGCUUAACACAUGCAAGUCGAGGGGUAACAGGAGUGCUUGCACUCGCUGACGACCGGCGCACGGGUGCGUAACGCGUAUAGAAUCUACCUUGUAGUAAGGGAUAGCCCAGAGAAAUUUGGAUUAAUACCUUAUAGUAUCUUAAGUGAGCAUUCACUAAGGAUUAAAGAUUUACUGCUAUAAGAUGACUAUGCGUUCUAUUAGCUAGUUGGUAUGGUAACGGCAUACCAAGGCUACGAUAGAUAGGGGUCCUGAGAGGGAGAUCCCCCACACUGGUACUGAGACACGGACCAGACUCCUACGGGAGGCAGCAGUGAGGAAUAUUGGACAAUGGAGGCAACUCUGAUCCAGCCAUGCCGCGUGUAGGAAGACUGCCCUAUGGGUUGUAAACUACUUUUAUAGAGGAAGAAACAAUAUUACGUGUAAUAUUCUGACGGUACUCUACGAAUAAGGAUCGGCUAACUCCGUGCCAGCAGCCGCGGUAAUACGGAGGAUCCAAGCGUUAUCCGGAAUCAUUGGGUUUAAAGGGUCCGUAGCGGGUUUGUAAGUCAGUGGUGAAAGUUUU